UUACCGGCUUGACAUGCGAAAGUCUUUAUUGCACAGAUCUUGCAUGGCCGUCGUCAGCUCGUGUCGUGAGAUGUUUGGUUAAGUCCAUCAACGAGCGCAACCCUGUCUCAGUUGAUUUCUGAGAGACUGCCCCGGCAAGGGGAGGAAGGAGGGGAUGAUGUCAGGUCAGUAUUAGUCUUACGCCGGGCUAGAAACGCAAUACAAUGGAGUACAUGCGGCACCGCGAGGGAAGCAAUCGAUAAACUGUCCCAGUUCGGAUUAGAGGCUGAAACUCGCCUCUAUGAAGUCGGAAUCGCUAGUAAUCGCAAUCAGCAAGUGCGGUGAAUACGUUCCCGGGUCUUGUACACACCGCCUGUCAAACCAUGAAAGUGACAAACCGAA
rnacentral:rRNA from 1 species